UGCGUUCAUUAGAGUAUUAUCUGUCCAUAGAACAAAAUAUAAUAUUAAAGUAUCAUUUUAUGAAAGUAAUUUCUUUAAACGAGAGAAGAAAAAGCAAACAAGCAAAUUAAACAGUGUAUAACAAUUCAAACUAAAAUAUGUUCUUUAAUUUCAUUUGUCUUUGUAUUUUUAUUAAAUGUAAGUCUUUUAGUGCCACAUCAGAAAGUGAACAAGCUAUAACUAGAGUUGAGCAGACACCUGGAUGUUCUGGUCCGGCAGGUUCGGCCAAACUUUGACAAACCCUGUGGCGGCGACUUUGCAUGCGGAUGUCAUCCAUAUCAACUUUCAAUUCCAGUUUCUGCACCUACCAUGGUGACCACAGGUAACGGGGAAUCAGGGUUCCAUUCUGUACAGGGACCCUGAGAAACGGCUACCACAUGCAAGGAAGGCAGCAGGCGCUCAAAUGACCCACUCCCGACGCGGGAAGGUAGUGACGACAAAUAACAAUACAGGACUCUUUAGAGGCCCUGUAAUUGUAAUGAGUCCAAUUGAAAUCCUUUAACUCUGAUCAGUUGGAGGGAAGUCUGGUGCAGAGCCACUGGCAUGUGCG